AACGAACGCUGGCGGCAUGCCUAACACAUGCAAGUCGAACGAGACCUUCGGGUCUAGUGGCGCACGGGUGCGUAACGCGUGGGAACCUGCCCUUAGGUUCGGAAUAACUCCCCGAAAGGGGUGCUCAUACCGGAUAAUGUCUUCGGACCAAAGAUUUAUCGCCUUGGGAUGGGCCCGCGUUGGAUUAGCUAGUUGGUAGGGUAAAAGCCUACCAAGGCGACGAUCCAUAGCUGGUCUGAGAGGAUGAUCAGCCACACUGGGACUGAGACACGGCCCAGACUCCUACGGGAGGGAGCAGAGGGUAAUAUUGGACAAUGGGCGGAGGCCUGAUCCAGCUAUGCCGCGUAAGUGAUGAAGGCCGUAGGGUUGUAAAGCUCUUUUACACGGGAUGAUAAUGACAGUACCGGGAGAAUAAGCUCCGGCUAACUCCGUG
rnacentral:rRNA from 1 species